rnacentral:rRNA from 1 species
GGUUCUUAGAAACUAAUUAAGAAUCAGGCCUGCUCAAUGCAGAAGUAAAAAGCCGCGGUAUCCUAACCGUGCAAAGGUAGCAUAAUCAUUAGUCUUUUAAUUGGAGACUAGAAUGAAAGGUUAAACUUAAUAAAUCUGUCUUACAAUAAUAUUUCAAAAUUAAUAUUUUAGUAAAAAAGCUAAAAUGAAUUUCAGGGACGAGAAGACCCUAUUGAGCUUUACAAACCUUUUCAUUUCUCUUUAAGUGAAAUUAAUUUGUUUUACUGGGGCAGUAAAUAACAACCUUUUAUUUUAAAAUUGUGGAACUAAUUCUAGGAAAAUCAAAAAAUUUUUAAAUAAAAAUAAGUUACCAUAGGGAUAACAGCGUAAUUUUUUCCAAGAGAACAUAUUAACGAAAAAGUUUGCGACCUCGAUGUUGGAUUAAAAUACCUCUUUUGCGCAACAGCAAAAAAAGGAAGUCUGUUCGACUUUUAAAAUUUUCCA